GUGUAAUGUAAAUUCUGUUCCAUGUAAAUAUGUAAACAUCAAAUACAAGUUAAAUUUGGAGAGGGGGCUUUGCCUUAUUUGAUUGGUCCACCACGUCACUGAAUAUAAUGUCAUACAAUAUCACAUAAAAUAAUGUCAAUGCAAAUUCAUCCAGACCAAAACCAUACAGAACAUAUCACACAUAGUCAUAUCACGUAAAUGACGUAGAUGAAGAUUAAACCUGAAGUACUAAACUAGGCAUUUUUUCCCAAUAUGGCAGGGAAAACUGAGCUAAUGGGCUACAAUGAGCAACAGAACAAAGCCCACAAGCCAGUGACUCAGAUUUGUGUCUUAUCCCCUGUGUCUGUGACAAAAUGAAACUCACAAAUUCAGCUGAAAUCAUAGCUUUUAACCAAAAUACAGCAGCUCAGGCCAGGGUACAUGAAAACAGGAGCUAAGCAAAACUAGAUUAAGAAAAACAAGCAAAACCCUAGUGACCUCCUUAUGAACCAUCUGUGAUUGAUUGGACUGACUUACCACCAUCAUCAUCAUCAUCAUCAAUAUCCUCAGUUGUUAAAUCUGGCCUCCAAGAAUUAUUAGUUUAAAACAGAAAUUCAUAAUGACAGGUGCCUACUUUGAUUGACUUUGAUUUAUGCAAUGAUUUAUGUCGUUCUAUUCCUCAUUCGAUUGGGUAAAACGCUUUGCUAAAUGAUUAAAUGUAAAUGUAGAUGUAAUUAAAUGUCUAGCUUAUCUCUCAUCCAGUUAUUUCCAAACCUCGCGAGGCUUGAAGUUGGACUCGCCGAACGUACUGCGCUCAAGAGGUGGAUCAGACGCCGGUAGUAAACCGCGAAAACCCAAAACACAUCUCCUGUAAGUGCUUGUGGAAGAACAGACAGGCAAGCGUCUGAAAGGGUAGGAACUGCAUCCUUAUGCCGGCGAAGUGUCUCCGUUUCCAAGCUCGUGAAUGCGUUUGGGCGGUGGUGUGAUUUGUUUCUGCAUCUUAAAUGGCGGAUUUCCUUGAAGACACCAUGAUGGGCAUUCACAUCAGAUGUACUUGGCCAGUUCUGGCUUUUUUGUUCUUCCAACUGGCAGCAGGGCAAAAUGACUUUAUUAUCUCUACUGACAAAGGUAAAGUCAGAGGACUGAGGCUUCCUGUGCCGGGAGGUUCAGGGUAUGUUGGGGCCUUUCUUGGGAUCCCUUACGCCAAGCCUCCUUUGGACCUGCUUCGAUUCAAACGACCAGAGCCUGCUGAGGUGUGGAAUGGGAUAUGGGAUGCCACCCACUACUCAAAUUCCUGCUUCCAGGAACUGGAUACAUUGUACCCAGAAUUCCCUGGAGCUAAAAUGUGGAAUCCCAACACCAGGAUUAGUGAAGACUGUCUGUACCUCAAUGUCUGGACUCCCUCAAUCAACCUCCAGAACCGAGCCAAACCCUUAGUCCCAGUUAUGGUGUGGAUCUAUGGUGGAGGCUUUUCCACAGGUACUGCCUCUCUGGAUGUGUACGAUGGGCGUUUCCUCAGCCAGACCCAACAGGUGGUGGUGGUAUCCAUGAACUACAGGUUAGGGGCAUUGGGUUUUCUAUCUGUACCUGAAAGUAAGAGCAUUAAAGGAAAUGCUGGUCUAUUUGACCAGCGCCUGGCUCUAAGCUGGGUGUCAAAAAACAUUGCUGCUUUUGGGGGUGAUCCAUCCUCCGUAACCUUGUUUGGAGAGAGUGCUGGUGCUGGCUCUGUGGGACACCAUUUGCUUUCACAGGGCAGCCAUGGCCUGUUCACCCGUGCAAUUCUCCAGAGUGGCAGUCCCAAUGCCUUGUGGGCGACCGUGGAGCCAGCUCAGGCCUGGAACCGUUCUUUAACUCUGGCUCAGCUUCUGAACUGCCCACUUUCAUCUGUUGAUGAAAUGGAGGCUUGCUUAAAAACAGUUGAACCUGAGAAGAUAGUCAAUCUUCAAUUCAAUGUUAUUCCUCAUCCCACGAUAAUAAGUGUGCCCUUUCCGCCAACAGUGGAUGGAGAGUUUCUUUUAGACAUGCCAAGUGUCCUAAUCCAGUUAGGACAUUUUCUGAAAACAGAGGUUCUUUUGGGAUUGAACAGAAAUGAAGGGACAUACUUCCUUGUAUAUGGUGCACCUGGAUUUGGCAUCCAUAACCAGAGUCUUAUCAAUCGAGACCAGUUCCUCACAGGUGUAUCCUUGGGCCUCCCUGGUUUCAGUGACAUAGCCAGAGAAGCGGCUGUUUUUCAGUAUACUGAUUGGACAGAUGAGCAGAGCAAACCAAAAAACAGAGAAGCCCUAGGCUGGUUGGUGGGCGACUGCUAUUUUUCAUGUCCCUUACUGGAUUUUGCCCGUAUGUAUGUUGAGAAUGGUGGCAGUGCCCGAUUGUUCCUCUUUAACCAUCGCUCCAGCUUCAACCCCUGGCCUCGUUGGAUGGGUGUAAUGCACGGGGAUGAGAUCCCAUUUGUUUUUGGGAUUCCUCUGAACCAGACCUUUGGAUUCUCUAAGGAGGAGGAGGCCAUGAGCAGGAAGAUAAUGGAGCAUUGGAGCAACUUUGCCAGAAGUGGGGAUCCGAGUGUGGAGGGAGCAGAUUGGCCGCUAUUCACGCUGGAACAUCAGCAGUAUGUCACGCUUAACACUGGCCUGUCACAAACACUCCGGAUGCUCAGAGCCCAGCAGUGCAAGUUCUGGGACAGUUUCCUGCCAAAACUGCAGUGUGUCACAGAGAUCACAUGCAUGUGCUGAGACCGAUCUGGCGACAAGGCGACUACUCCCGAGAGAAACCACAAGACAAAUAACAAACAGUGCACGGGUGUCUCGAGUGACACUGGCUCAAGGUUGGAGCACGAUCAGAGGCGAGGCAGAGAUGAGUGGACCGAGCGUUUGGCUGCAAAUAGAGCGAUGAGAGAUUGGUGUGUCAGUCCCGCUGCUGGAGGAUUUGUGCUCUUCAACCCGCGGGCUUUGUGUGUGUAAUGCCAUCUUAAGACUUGGAAUAUGGUGUUUUCAGCGAAGCGCACGCCGUUCACAACAGCAGCUUUUGAUUCCGUCCGCUGGAGCGGUGCUCAUGCUUUUCUAUGGUGAGCAACUUCUACGUUGGGCUUGUUCAGACGGUGACAAGUCAAGAAUCUGAAGAAUUGAUCUGAAGAACGAUUCAGUGUAAUUGGAGUUUAGUCCCACUUUAUAAAGGCAGAGCAUCGUCCGCUAUUUACGCACAUUUGCCGUUGCAACAGCUGUUUUUUUUCUUUUUUCUGCUUAUCUCCUGCGCCCCCCCUGCGGUACCCAUGCGCCCCCCACACUUUGAGAACCACUGCAUUAGGGGACUGGGACAAUGUUUCUGGCUCUUCCCCCUGUUGAAGAUAAAUGACAGAUACGAUCUCAGGAUGUCCUCUGGAAAACGCUGGCUAGGUGCCACUUCACCCUCUUACAAAGACAUCCAACAUCAGGACAAAGUUUGACUUUGCAGUCCACCUAGAUGUCUUCCAUUCAUUUGGAAAUAAAGCAGAGGCCUUAUCUGCUGGUGAGAUCAUGCAUCACUGCUUUAUCCUUCCAUGCAUCAAGCUCAACAUUAUCCAUCGCAUUGGACAUGCCACAGAGUCGUCCCAAUGCUGGAGAGUUCAGCUGUCAGAGAAAAAAAUCAUGCAUAAGCAGCGCUCACAGAAUCCCGGCGAGCGUGACUCACACAGCCCUGCUGGAGUGUCUGCUGUCAGCAGUUCUGUCUAACUGGGUGACAGGAGAGAAAUAAUGACAGG